rnacentral:rRNA from 1 species
CCUACGGGGUGCAGCAGUGAGGAAUAUUGGUCAAUGGACGGAAGUCUGAACCAGCCAUGCCGCGUGCUGGAAGACGGCUCUAUGAGUGGUAAACUGCUUUUGUACAAGGGUAAACCUGAAUACGUGUAUUCAGCUGAAAGUACUGUACGAAUAAGGAUCGGCUAACUCCGUGCCAGCAGCCGCGGUAAUACGGAGGAUCCAAGCGUUAUCCGGAUUUAUUUGGUUUAAAGGGUGCGUAGGCGGAUUGAUAAGUUAGAGGUGAAAUGGCCGGGCUUAACUCGGGAACUGCCUCUAAUACUGUUGAACUAGAGAGUAGAUGCGGUAGGCGGAAUGUAUGGUGUAGCGGUGAAAUGCUUAGAGAUCAUACAGAACACCGGUUGCGAAGGCAGCUUACCAAUCUAUAUCUGACGUUGAGGCACGAAAGCGUGGGGAGCAAACAGGAUUAGAUACCCCAGUAGUC